GAGUGGUGUUUUAUGCACUAGAGAGCGCUUUCAUUAUCCGACACAGCCUUGUAUGCAGAAGCAACGAGGCCCAAUGCGUAAUAUUAUUUUACCCAUGACGAAUGAAUGAGCGAGUUUGGAUUAACUAUUAACUACCCUAAUGACUACUUAGCUUGAAAUUGACAAUAAUUUGACAAUGAAAUUACCUAAAAUUUGCUGCCCGAAUUUGCUGACAGUUUGACAGCGAAGGUUAAAUCGAAAAAUUUACGAUUAAUUUUUCCUCAAUUUAAAGGUAACUUUUUUUACUAGAAACAAAAUCCAAUUAGCGCAGUUUGCCUAGCAAAAGUUUAACUUUACGAAAAAAUCCUUAAAUUUUUCGUCAAAUGUCGGUCAACUUUAAGCUUUUCUGUUUUUGACGACAAUUUGUAUACAACUUUUGAAGUAAAUUAGCAUUUUAACUCAGAAAGUAAAUUCACGUCAAAUUGUAUGGCAAGUUGUACACCAAUUAUCGUCAAAAACGAAAAAGCCCGAAAUUGACGGUCAUUUGACAAAAAAUUCCAGGAAACUUUUAUAAAGAAAACUUUUGUUUAGCAAACUCCCUAAUAGCGACUUUAGCUUGAAAUUGACACUAAUUUGAGAUUGAAAUUGCCUGAAAUUUGUUGCCCGAAUUUCCUGACAAUUUGACAGCAGAAGUUGGAAAGAAAAAUUUUCGGUUAAUUUUCGUUCAAUUUAGAAGUAACUUUUUAGGAGAAAAAAAAGUCGGUAAUGUUAAUUCUUACCAUUUCAGAAGGUAAGCAAAAUCAUAAAUCAAAUUUUCUACAAUUUCACGGUAAAAAAAUACUUUACAAUUUUUUAAGUCAAAUUAACCAUGAAUUGAAGUAAAAAUAUGCUUAAAAAUUGACGACAACUUUUUUCUAGUCAACUUUUAAAGUGAAUUUGGAUUCUAAAUCGGGCAGAGUAAAUUGGCGUCAAAUUGAAUAUCAAGUUGCAUACAAAUAGUCGUAAAAAACGGAAAAGUCCGAAGUUGACGGAUAUUUGACGAAAAAUUCAAGGAAACUUUUUUUUAAGCUGUAAUGAAUGUAAGCUCGGUUUAUGCUGCCACCAGCAAGUAUGGUUUCCAAACCGCUGCCUAAGAAGGAAGCCAAAUUAGAAAGGGCCUCGCAACUGCGUUACUUUUGGGAUCUUGACCUAGUUUGGUUGCCUCAUUUCCCGCAAGUCUGGAAUUUGGCAUGCCUUAUUUGGGCCUAAUCACUGCCUAACUAAAAUUUCUAGUCGGGAUGUUAGUUAUUUAUCUUGUUCAACUAUUCAUUUUUUAAAAAUACUUACGAUAGCUUUGUUGUCAAGUUGAUAUUUGUGAUAAUAAAUAAUAAAACUUAUAUAAGAUGUUGGAAUAUUUCUUGUGACAUUGGUCAAAGUUACUGCUGACGCAAACGAGUUUUUCUGGUAUAAAAAUGUCCGUUUUUCUGUGAUUGGUAUGCAGAAGCUCACAGAAACUCAUCGAAGCAUUACUGUCCAGUUUGGGAAAAAUCGAAAAUGUCGAAAUAUAUUUCAUUGUUAGUUAUCCUCAUGUUUGUAAGCCUUUAUGUCUGUGCAGUCGAAGGAUGUGCCGGCAAAUGGUGUCAUCCGAUUCAAGGUUACCCCUGCUGUGACGGCUACAAAUGUAACAAUGGACAUUGGAUGCAAGGAAACUGCGAUGUAAAUACUGCGAGAAAGGUACCGGUGGGCUAGUCCUUGACAGUAGAAAAAAAAUUGUAUCAAUGGCAUGAAGAAAUAAAUGUUAUUGUACAAUAAUAAAAAUGAAAUAAAUUAACCCAUGAAAAAA